UGACUCAACUCUGGGGUUCGUCUUGUCAAAUGAUGGUUUGCGAUGCAAGUCGUAGUUCUGAACGCAGGAUUGCAUUGUAGUUACUGGUUUACAGACUUCCUUGUUGGCUUUACUAGAAAUAAUUUUUCUUAAAAGUAAUAUGUGGGUUCUGUUAGCGUGUAAGCUCUCAAAUUGAAAGAUAUUUCGAAGCUAAUCAUUGUGAAUUUGCCCAUCUUGUUUCGAUUAAUUGAUACUUGGUCAUUACUAUUCUAGGUAUUAAUGUGGAUUGCUGCUUUAUAUCUGUGUUGCUUAGUGGAGCUUAUUGGUUUUGUCUGUCAGUUUCCAAUUCUUCUAGAGUCUUUUAUCGAACGUAACAAAUUCAGGUGUACUUGGGACAUCUUCUGUUUGCAGGAGAGAAAAAGCAUCUAGCCCACAUUCUCCUUUGAAGGCAUUUAUGGUAGAACCUUGCUUGCAGUGUUAACGAAUGAGUUCUUGUGUUUCUAUGACCCAGCUGAAUGAAGAGGCGUUCGGAGGAUUGAUGUUGCGAAUGUGAAUAACAAUAUUGUGCAUGUUUUCAGUUCAGUUUGAUGUUUUUGGUUAGAAUUGGAGUUCUUGGUUUCAUUACAACUGUGUCUAAUUGACGUAGCGGGUCUCUGGGUGCAGAACGUCCUUUGGUCUGACCAUUGGGUUCUGAUUGCUAUUACUAGUGAGAACACUUUUACAUUCUCAAAUACGAUGUAAGUAUCGGCUUCAUAGUGCUACGAUUUCUCGUAGUUUCUGCUUGAUGUAUAUAUGAGUGUGUUCGGACUGGUCUUUUAGUGGGCAAUUGUUCUAUCUACAGCUACUCAGCCCGGCUCUUGAAUUACUAUGUUGAUGGACAAGUAUGCAAUGAUCACCCCGGGAUGGUUCACAUUCAAAAUGACCUCCCGUAUGUUACAUACUGCUGCGUUCAAGUGGUUCAUUUGUAACAUCUCUAUAAGUUACGACUAAUGUGCACUAUCUUGGUUGUGGUUAAUGGAGGACUCUGGCUGGAUCAUUUCCGAUGGUCUUGCUUUUUCCCAUUUGUAUUACGUAAAUUAGGCAUUUGGAGAGCUUCUGCUUUCAUCAUACAAUGUCACACACUAGAUCAACUCACAGUUGAAUGAUGCAGUGGAAUGUCCAAGCCAUCUCAGAGAUUUAAGUGGUUUACCACCUACUCUAUUCAGCAUUAGGGGACGCUGAGAGACUUGAGAAGCUCUCUGCGUUUACACGAACGAAUGACAAUAACAAUGUUUCUCUUGUAUCAUUCUUCUUGCUUGAAAAUGUGGAAGGGUGCGUUGAGCUUCUCAUUGAAAGUUGUGUUAAUUGCCAUAAUGCAGAAUGGCAUUAUGGAGUUUUGUAAAACAUCAUCUACAAUCUACAUCGUUAUGUACGCAGUGUUUUCUUUUCGUGGCCCCACAUGGGGAGGAGGUGUGUGUGUGAGAAUAAAACAUAAAAUCAAAAUUGAUCUCUCUCAGAAAGAAUGGAUUCAAGUGUUAAAAUUUGAGCAAGUUGAAUUACCUUCAAAACUUGGAAAAGGUCAGCUGCAUGCAUGAUCGUGCAUUAUCUGUUUGUGAAAGAAAUGAAACUGCCAGUGUCCAAGUGAUAGCUCAGUGUGCGAUACAGAUGGAUCAAUGCAUUUUCCUUUCUGUAACCUCUUUCUCUUGUGCAGCAAUCGAAUUCUUGAAGCAGGAUGCUAGGCACGUACUUACUUGCCAAGCUAAGUGUCGAGAGUAUAGUUUUUCUUUGGCGCAAUGAUUUGAAGAAGGGACUCUAAACGCUUCUGCUUUUCUGCAAUUACUCGAGCUACAUCAAUUGCGAUGAAGAGUAGUUGACUAAAGACUUGCAAAUUCUAUUGACACAUAACAGGAACAUGAAGCUGGUGAAUGAACUAUGUCAAUUGUAGUUGGUCUCUCUCUCGAUGCUUCUUUCUCAUGCUUUCUUCAGGGCUCUAUGCUAUUGCUGGACACUUCUUUCCGUUGCUCUUGAGCUUAGUGGUGGUUGUAAGUGAUGUAGGCCUGUGGCCCUGUUCCUAUAUGAUCGGUGACGCACUUAGUCACUACUUAUUA